AUGCUUGAUGUUGGUCGUCAUCUGCCUUGUGUUCAUCACCACAGAAGCUGUUUCAGAUUUAUGGGGAUUUGUCAUUUGGAUUGCCAUUGUUUCCAUCAGCAUGGUUUUUAUCAUCCUUUUCCUGUUUAUACCACCUUGUCACAAUUAUUGUGCUGCUUGCAACGGGAGACACAAGACUUCCAGAGUAAGUUUAUUUUCUUAAUUCCUUGUGAAAGUAUUAAUGUGCAAUAUCACAGACAAAUCAGAUUUUAGUCUAUGAUCAACUUCAGCUAUGUACAUUAAAUUAUUAGCAUUUUUUCUGUUGUUGUCUCCCUCAGAAAUGACGGUUGAUUCUAAAUCCCAGCUUUACUGAAGCAACUGGAGCUCUUAACUAUCUGCGCCUUCAUAACUUUGACUGUUGCUUUUUGACCUCUGUGUCUGCUGGACCAUGCUUUUUAUUUUCAAAGAGGGACAAGAUGAGAAUCUCUUCUGCUUAAUUUUUUUUUUCUUUUGGCCAAGACUUGUGUGGAGAGUAGAGAAGUACUGAGAAGAGGAGAGAGACUGAAAUACAUCUACCAUCUGCAGCAAGAUCCAACUAUUGUGAACUUUGUGGAUUUAAGUUAUGUGACUGUGGUUGGUUUUGCUGUGUGCCACUCAAAACUGAAAUGUGAGCUAGAUAGGAAGAUCAUAGACAAUUAUCUUUAUGUAGGGAGGUGGGUGGCAGUUUUUUCUGGUUUUGGAUUGAGGGUAUAUUUACAGACAAUGAUUAAUGGUGUGUUUUUUGCAAGCUAAUUCUUGUUCAGAACAAUCACUUUAGCAAAGUUUGUACUCUUUUUCUGGUCAUUUUGCUGAAUAAUGAUCAUUUGUUCAAUAAAUCUAUUGUCAUUUAAAUAUGUUCA
ensembl:lncRNA